UACGAAGGGGGCUAGCGUUGCUCGGAAUCACUGGGCGUAAAGCGCACGUAGGCGGAUUGCUAAGUCAGGGGUGAAAUCCUGGAGCUCAACUCCGGAACUGCCUUUAAAACUGCAUCGCUUGAAUCCAGGAGAGGUGAGUGGAAUUCCGAGUGUAGAGGUGAAAUUCGUAGAUAUUCGGAAGAACACCAGUGGCGAAGGCGGCUCACUGGACUGGUAUUGACGCUGAGGUGCGAAAGCGUGGGGAGCAAACAGG
rnacentral:rRNA from 1 species